ACGGGUGAGUAACACGUGAGUAACCUGCCCUUAACUCUGGGAUAAGCCUGGGAAACUGGGUCUAAUACCGGAUAUGACUCCUCAUCGCAUGGUGGGGGGUGGAAAGCUUUUGUGGUUUUGGAUGGACUCGCGGCCUAUCAGCUUGUUGGUGAGGUAAUGGCUCACCAAGGCGACGACGGGUAGCCGGCCUGAGAGGGUGACCGGCCACACUGGGACUGAGACACGGCCCAGACUCCUACGGGAGGCAGCAGUGGGGAAUAUUGCACAAUGGGCGGAAGCCUGAUGCAGCGACGCCGCGUGAGGGAUGACGGCCUUCGGGUUGUAAACCUCUUUCAGUAGGGAAGAAGCGAAAGUGACGGUACCUGCAGAAGAAGCGCCGGCUAACUACGUGCCAGCAGCCGCGGUAAUACGUAGGGCGCAAGCGUUAUCCGGAAUUAUUGGGCGUAAAGAGCUCGUAGGCGGUUUGUCGCGUCUGCCGUGAAAGUCCGGGGCUCAACUCCGGAUCUGCGGUGGGUACGGGCAGACUAGAGUGAUGUAGGGGAGACUGGAAUUCCUGGUGUAGCGGUGAAAUGCGCAGA
rnacentral:rRNA from 2 species